AAGGAAGAUUAACUUACCUCUCCCAUUUGUGUCACGAGGGACUGUAGUUCACAAUAAGGAAGAAGACUGAUUGUAGCUGGUUAAAACUGCAUAUUUUAUCCAGGGAGGUGAAUUACACGGAGAGUCCCAGCCCCUACACAUCUCGUUAAGCCAUGUGCACGAUAAGAUGGUCUGCUGGUCAACCUCUAGUGCAGAGGUCGGCAACCUGCGGCUCCGGAGCCACAUGCGGCUCUUUCAUCUCUGUGAUGCGGCUCCCCGUGGUUUGUAAGCUUUUGAAAUGUAAUUCGAAAUUUGAAGAUUAUGGUGAUCUUGUACAAUCUAAAAACUUUGUGGAGACCCCAUUUCCUGGCACAUCCGAACCGGCUCACAAUUAGCCACCGUUCCGGCUAAGGGAGAAGCCUACGGGGGUUUGUGAAACCACUUUCCCGCCCUGUUCCCAUAUCCUUUGAUUUCCUUAAUAGCAAAAAUAAACGGAUUGCCAUCUUCAAUAUACUCAGCACUACAGCACAGCUGAGUCAAGCCUCUGAUUGGUCCUCUGCUCGCUACGUGAAGACGACUUUCUCUAUUGUUCUGGUGCUCCCAAGGCGGUCUCCUCUAUUUUGGUCCAAAAUCCAAGAUGGCGGCGCGAUGCAGCUUGCAGCAGCCACUCCGGAACUGAUUGUCUGUUAUUUGUGAAGUGGGGUGCCGUGAGCAAACAUAAUCGAUUGAAAACGGACGUGGAAGCAUGGAGAAACAUCGGGAAAUUCCAGGAAGACCUGCUGCUGUGAGGUCCGGGACUCUGCUGGGAAGAACAGGCCCCCAGUCCUCGGGGUCGCGUUGCCAAUGGCCAUUAAUACGCUCGGCAGAGGAUGGAGCUCGGAGAAGCUGUGCCGGAGGGGGUGGUUGGAGGUUCGACAGACUCAGGUCGCUUUCGGUGUGUGCUGCGUCUGCGAGGCUGAGUCGGGCGGCGCCGUGGAAGUCCAUAGCGGGGGUAUUCCCUUCUGCCGCCAGUGUGGGAUGGCAAGUCUGUCAAGACCCUGGGGACUUGUGGAAACUGUGGUGAUUUCUUUUGAACUUACAGUCCUUUACCAUCUUGGACUAUUUUUACUGUGCCCAUAGUCUGUUUUUUAAAAAUCAAUUAUGCUAUUGUUUGCACUGUUGUAACUAUAUGUUGUAAUUAUAUGGUUUUGUGCAGGUCUUGUAGCUUUAGUUUAUGGUCUAGUUUUGUCUGGUGGAUUUGGAGCUCCUUUCCGGGGAACGCGCUAGACAGUAGCGCGAUAUUAAUACGCAGCAGCCUCUCCGGACUCUGGAUAGGGGAUUGCCAAAUGUUACGUGGAUUUUCUGGUGUGGUCUGUUUUGUCAUAUGCUUUUGUGAUAUCAUUCUGGAGGAAUGUUGUCUCAUUUUUUAACUGCAUUGCAUUUGUGGUUUCUAAAUGACAAUAAACUGAAUCUGAA